UCCCUGGUAGUCCAGUGUCUAUGACUCUAUGCUCCCAAAGCAGGGGGCCUAGGUUCGAUCCCUGGUCAGGGAA
rfam:Ovis aries breed Texel chromosome 11, whole genome shotgun sequence.